AGUGAACGCUGGCGGUAGGCCUAACACAUGCAAGUCGAACGGCAGCACAGUAAGAGCUUGCUCUUACGGGUGGCGAGUGGCGGACGGGUGAGGAAUACAUCGGAAUCUACUUUUUCGUGGGGGAUAACGUAGGGAAACUUACGCUAAUACCGCAUACGACCUACGGGUGAAAGCAGGGGAUCUUCGGACCUUGCGCGAUUGAAUGAGCCGAUGUCGGAUUAGCUAGUUGGCGGGGUAAAGGCCCACCAAGGCGACGAUCCGUAGCUGGUCUGAGAGGAUGAUCAGCCACACUGGAACUGAGACACGGUCCAGACUCCUACGGGAGGCAGCAGUGGGGAAUAUUGGACAAAGGGCGCAAGCCUGAUCCAGCAAUACCGCGUGGGUGAAGAAGGCCUUCGGGUUGUAAAGCCCUUUUGUUGGGAAAGAAAAGCAGCAGGUUAAUACCCCGCUGUUCUGACGGUACCCAAAGAAUAAGCACCGGCUAACUUCGUG
rnacentral:rRNA from 1 species